GACGAACGCUGGCGGCAUGCCUAAUACAUGCAAGUCGAGCGAACAGAUGAAGUGCUUGCACUUCUGACGUCAGCGGCGAACGGGUGAGUAACACGUAAGGAAUCUACCCAUAAGCGGGGGAUAACAUUCGGAAACGGGUGCUAAUACCGCAUAAUAUCUUCUUCCGCAUGGAAGAAGAUUGAAAGACGGCUCUGCUGUCACUUAUAGAUGACCUUGCGUUGCAUUAGUUAGUUGGUGGGGUACUGGCCUACCAAGACGAUGAUGCAUAGCCGACCUGAGAGGGUGAUCGGACACAUUGGGACUGAGACACGGCCCAAACUCCUACGGGAGGCAGCAGUAGUGAAUCUUCCGAAAUGGGCGAAAGCCUGACGGACCAAUGCCGCGUGAGUGAAGAAGGCCUUCGGGUCGUAAAACUCUGUUAUAAGAGAAGAACAAAUUGUAGAGUAACUGCUACAGUCUUGACGGUAUCUUAUCAGAAAGCCACGGCUAACUACGUGCCAGCCGCCGCCGUAA
rnacentral:rRNA from 1 species